AAAACUCACAAGGGGAAAUAUACAGUAAGAACUCAGCUACAAAAAGCAGGACCUCUUAAUUCGUCCCUCGAGGGAAUCUACAACAACUAAUAUAGACAAGGUCCAGAAAGCCAACCAACUGGAGAUUCAUAUUUUGUACAACAAAAAUUUAUAUAUUAUUCAUGGAUGAAGCACCACCGGAAUAUCUUUAAAAGCUGUGAGGUAUAUCUAAUGGCAUGAAAACAAAAAUGCUUUAAAAGGUCAUCCAUCUGCUUUAAUGGUGUUUCACAAUGUGUCAGAGCAACGUAGGCAAUUGUAAUUAAUGAGCCGGUGUGCAAGGCUGCCAGCCUCUGGAACCAUAGCUGAAGUUAAGCCAUUCCAAAAGUGAAAUGUGACAGCUUCUUUGAGGAUAGUUUUGAACAGCGUAUCUUGUUUAGUUUUCUCAGUUUCCAUUGCUGGUGCCGAGAAGUAUCUGGUAAUAUUGUUAUGACCGAUGGGGAAGAAAACAAACGAGGGUUGAAAUUUGAUCUCCCUCUUUCUACUGGAAAGAUUACCAUUGACGGAAAAGUUACUAGCAACUCUUGUCAAAAGAUCAGCUCCAUUCCAUCUCAAUUGUGUGUCGUCAUAAGAUGCAUAAAACUCCUUCAAACACUCCAUUACAAAAGGACUGUGCUUUCUAAAAGCCAUUACAGCACCAUUCAAAGUUUUUCCACGUCGGUCAUCCUCAAAAGCAACAGUAUUACUAAGUGAAGACAAUGAAUUCAACACUAUGAUGUCUGAGUCAAGAUAGAUUCCACCAUAUUUGUAUAGAGCUGCCAGCCUG
rnacentral:misc_RNA from 1 species